UACGGAGGAUCCAAGCGUUAUCCGGAUUUAUUGGGUUUAAAGGGUGCGUAGGCGGGUUAUUAAGUCAGUGGUGAAAGCCUUCAGCUUAACUGAAGAAUUGCCAUUGAUACUGAUGAUCUUGAGUAUGAUUGAGGUGGGCGGAAUGUGUCAUGUAGCGGUGAAAUGCUUAGAUAUGACACAGAACACCGAUUGCGAAGGCAGCUCACUAAGUCAUAACUGACGCUGAUGCACGAAAGCGUGGGGAGCAAACAGG
rnacentral:rRNA from 1 species